rnacentral:rRNA from 1 species
AGUGAACGCUGGCGGUAGGCCUAACACAUGCAAGUCGAACGGCAGCACAGUAAGAGCUUGCUCUUACGGGUGGCGAGUGGCGGACGGGUGAGGAAUACAUCGGAAUCUACUUUUUCGUGGGGGAUAACGUAGGGAAACUUACGCUAAUACCGCAUAUGACCUACGGGUGAAAGCAGUGGAUCUUCGGACCUUGCGCGAUUGAAUUAGCCGGUGUCGGAUUGGCUGGUUGGGGGGGUAAAGGCCCACCAAGGCGACGAUCCGUAGCUGGUCGGAGAGGAUGGUCAGCCACACGGGAACUGAGACACGGUCCAGACUCCUACGGGAGGCAGCAGUGGGGAAUAGUGGACAAUGGGCGGAAGCCUGAUCCAGCCAUACCGCGUGGGUGACGAAGGCCUUCGGGUUGUAAAGCCCUUUUGUUGGGAAAGAACAGCAGCAGGUUAAUACCCAGCUGUUCUGACGGUACCCAAUGAAUAAGCACCGGCUAACUUCGUG